rnacentral:lncRNA from 1 species
CUGAGGGCGCCCAGAUUAGAAAACAACUGAAAUAAAGUGAGAAAUACUGACACCAGGCUGCAGCAGGUGAUUCAGGGAUCACGCUUAAUGAGAGCUAAAAAGACCCAGAACAGAACUGACUAAGAAAAACUGUGAUCCAGAUCCAGGUUUGUGUGGUUUUCCACCUCCAGAGUGAGCGCUGAAAACCCUCUGAACUCCUGACUCCAGACUCAACUAACUCUGACGGUUUGUUCAUGUAGUCAAAAGAAAUCCCACUCUGAGUGUUUUACUUUGAAGAUUACUUUCAUUUACAAAACUUCUUUUUAUUUCUGUGUCACAAAAUGCAGUUUGACAACACGGACAGGGCGAAUUACCUGAACUACAUGUUUCGAUGUUUAACUGUCUCCUUUGACCCGCUCUGUGCAGAUUGAUGCUUCCAGCAGGAACCAGUGGGAGGAAACACGUUGACUCUAAGGGGAAAGAAUCUACAGGAAUUCAGAGGUUAGUCAUGCACACCUGCUUAAAUACCUGCAUGUUGGAGAAGUGAUGGUGCUCCUGGUCGCUCAUUCUGAUGCUCAAACAUCUGCUUUUAUUCCAUGCUGUGACGUUGUACACAUUAAUGUAAAUCAGGAUUUAAAUCUCUGUCAGUUUUCUGAUUUAAAAAAACACCUCCAGGUUUUUUAAUGACCCUCAGAUUGAGGAGCUCUCUGUCUCAGUCCCUGUUUUGUCCUGUAAAGUUAGAUUUUUCCCUGAAAUGCAGUCAGAUUUCACAUCACGCUGUAUCAUUUUCAAGUUCGGUGUCUGCCCUGGAGCUGUGCCGCUAACAAAGCGAACAUCACAUUCAGAAGACGACAAAAGCUCCCCUUUGUUAACUCCAUAAAUGUAAAGUAAUUGAACAAAUAUGCUCCUGAUCGUGCUUCAAAUUAAAUCCUGUCUUUUCAGCUCCCGUCAAGCAUUUAGUUGUUUUCAGUAAACAAGUCUAAUUCAACAUGACGACAGGCUGUUGUUGGAUCUUUUAACAGUCAGUGAUGUUGGCUUAAACGCUUGGGAUGAAUGUGAGAACGAACGUAGGCGCUGCUGGAUGCUGCCCGUCCAUUUUUCGAGAGGCUUCCUGUUCUUCUGUUGGCUGUGGGUGGACGGCAGCUCCGCUAAUUAAUGCAGCCAUCAACGCCGAGUACAACUGUGUGAAAUGAUUAUCCAAAUGCAUCCUCAAAAAUACGCCGCCUGGUCAGGGGGAUAAUGUCUGUGAAGAUUUUUGUAAUUGUUCCCUCAAAUUAGCAUUUAUUAAUUUGUGUCCUCACAUUACAAACCGUUUAUGAAUUUUUAAUUAGAGCUCCUCUGUCCAUUCACAGUUUUCAUAGACUGAGGUAUCCUGGUUAUAAAACAGACAUCAUACUAACAACACUACUUACAACACUUUUAGAUACAUCUACAAUCCCUACAAAUCCUCCGGUUUGGUGAAUCACAUGAACUCUAAAAAAAUAUGAUUGAAUCUUCGUUUGAGUAAGUCAGUGUGUAUCUGCAGUUUUGAUUCUGUGUAUGUUGUUUUUUAGAUGAUACUUAAUAGUACGGUGCUUAGAAAUAGAAUGAUUUUUUGGUUCUGAGGCGUCAGAUUUUAGCUCGAAAUGCUCCCUUGCUCAACCCUCAUGUUUGUAAAGGUACGGUGGCCUUGAAGGACAAGAAGUUUUUGUCAGUUUUUUAUAAUUUGGAAACAUCCAUCAAUGCAAAGUCAACAACCACACCGUGGCAAACCCGUUUGUUUGCCAGUUUUAAUGCAUUUCUUAGUUAAAUAUUUAUGUGCUUCUGGAGAAACGAGAUGGUGGCCUCCGUGGAAGAGGACCUGCUAACAUGUGGAUUUAAAGACUCAUUUUGAGUUUAUAACCAAACCAUGUUUAUAUACAGUAGGGCUGAAACGAUUCUUCGAGUACCUCGAUUACAAAAAAUGAUUUCUGAGUACUCAUUUAUGAGCUCAAAUCAUCGCUGUUUCGCACUGAUUAUUAUCAAGGUGGCACCACGUGCUUACAUCACCGCGGUAGAAGGAGGAGUAGGCGUGGUUUGGGUUUUGCAGAGCGGAAAAAAUGAAUGAUGAGAGGGUCUUUUUUCUGUAGAGCUCCAGCAGCUCAUUAGCGAUUCGCCUCUGAGUCGUGGGCGGAGUUGGCGCUGCUCUGCACGCUCCUCUUCAUGCUAGAUUGUAGCCUAACAUUGUUGGUGAAGUAGAAGUUGCAGGUAACACAGGAACUAUUCAGCUCUCAGACACUAAUGUCUUUAGGGACAUGAUCAAAGUUAAUAUCAUAAUUAGCUUUCUUACAAGCAUUGCGAUCCACUACAUGCUUGUUCCACGAUCGUCCUCUCUACUUCUCCAAGUCUGGCCUUCAUAGCGGAGCUCUGGGGGCGGAGCUUGGAUUUGUGACGUAGGAAAUCCCACUGUAUCAGAACCUGCCGUUUGGGUCCGAUUACUCGAGUGAUCGAUGGAAUAUUUGGUAGAAAACUCGAUUAAUAAAAUAUUUGAUCACUGCAGCCCUAAUAUACAGGUGAUUAUAUACUGAUUUAAACAUACUUAUGAACACUUUAUUCCAUUUUUAACAACUUUAACCUACUAAAUGCUGCUAAAUAUUACACACUGCACCUUUAAUUUGUCUUAUUCAACACUUCUUUUCCUUUACCGAUCUCUUACACUUCACUAUUUUGUCAUUUAACGUCGUAGUCUGGCAAAAACUUGGUUUAAGUCUACAACUUGGUUUAAGUCUACAAUGCAUACCCUGAUUAUUUAGCGAGCACCUCCACAGUCUAAUGUAAAACACAUUAAAAACCCAGUUUGGAUCUACCAGACCCCUUUGGUGCAAAAGCGAUGAAGCUCGUCCAGAGGGCCGAAACAGAGUAACCCAGGGAUGGUAAACAAAUGCAGCGUCUGCAGAGCGCAGUCGAACUCUGAGCGAGUUCAUAAAGUUUUCAUCUGCAGGGACCUGAGGAGCUACAGGGAAUCAGAGAAGACGUUAAACACAGUUGAAACAUACGACAGCAAACCGACUUAAAAAUGCAGAUUAGAAAGUCAGCAGAGAGAGAGAGAGAGCGGCACUUGGACUACUCCUUCAUACUUAAUUUCUAAUGAGUGGAAGUUGGUGUCAGAUUUUAAGCAGACUACAGCUCUGCAUGCAAUUUAAAAAUAAAGCAGCAUUAUUAUUUAACAAGUAUUUAAAGAGACCAUGUGGUGAAGAAAGAGCUGAGCCGUAAGGCGAGACUCUCGAUUUAUCGGUCGAUCUACGUGCCGAUGGACUUUGGGUAAUGACCGAAAGAACAAGAUCGCAGAUACAAGCGGCUGAAAUGGGUUUCCUCCUCAGGGUGUCCGGGCUCAGCCUUAGAGAUAGGGUAAGGAGCUCGGACACUGCAGGGAGCUCGUGGAGCUCCUCCACGUCGAGAGGAGUCAGCUGAGGUGGCUCGGGCAUCUGGUUAGGACGCCUUCUGGACGCCUCCCGUUAGAGGUGUUCCAGACACGUCCCACCGGGAGGAGACCUUGUGGCCGGUCCAGGACCAGGUGGAGGGAUUAUAUCUCUCACCUGGCCUGGGAGCGCCUGGGAAUCCCCCGGAGGAGCUGGUGGAGGUGAGGGCCGUCUGGGCUUCCCUCCUGAAGAAAACGACAACGAUUUAAAGAACUCAAAAUUAGCUGAAAACGUAAACGUAGUUCGUCUGCAGCUUCCCCUCCAAACAACCUCCCUCCAAAAAUACUGAAAUAUCCCUUUAAGAGGUUCCUGACAAUACUCAGCCCUUUAAUAAGCAGGUGAUUCAACCUUCAACUUUUGAGCAGAUGGUUUUAUUUAAUAAUUGAUGAAUGUGAAAUCAACUUUAAAAAGAAAACUCCAAAUCUACCAGAGUAACACACGGUCAGAGUCGGGUCGUCUGCACACAAAAACAGAACCUCAAACCCAACAUAACACUUCUUCUUCUAGUGUUGCAUUAGCAGCAUGAACACCAUUAGAAGCGAUCGUUUUUCCCCAGUGAAGGUUGUUUUCCCUCCAGCAGCAGCAUCAGCUGGCGAGCCUGUGGUGGUCUUCUAUCCCACCCACCGUCAAAAGCACCCCCUCUCCCCUCCAGAAUUCAUCGAUUUCCAUGGAGCAGAUUCCUCCUGGCUGAACAGUUCCCUCCUUGUAUGUCGGGCGCUCAUCUCUGACAGCUGAGGCCGGCUCGUAGCCUGUGGCGAUCGUCUGGAGUGGACGGACACACGGAGCAGACAAUGAGUCGCCUCAGAGCUGCAGCAGAUGUCCCGGUGAUCGCCGCGGACGCUGGCCGACAACUCUGCUCGCUGCUGCUUUACUGAUUGGAGGAGAAUUAUAUAAAAGAAGACGAAGAAGAAGAAGAGCGCUCUGCUUGGAGUUCAAGUGCCAGUUUGCACAAUAUGCUCUAUUGUGGAUGAGAGUAUUUUUGCACCAAACAGGAGUUGUAUUAUUGAAGGAAGAGAGCCAUGAGGGACCCUGAGAUUAAACUGCUGCUCUGAGCUGCUGCAGGCGCACUGAUUUGUACUUUCGGCAGAAAAAAAGAUUCAAAGGUUCAGCUUUGAUUUAACAACCAGAUUAAUCAAAUAAAAUACAGCAAAAUAAGCCCAGUGGAUCUCCUGAAAGAAACUUUUCACAGUCAUUAUCAUGUUGGUGUUUUUCGCUCAGUUACAGGCCACAAAGCAAAUACUCUGCUCUGCAUUCGCAUAAAAAGACGGAAUAUUGAAUCUGUAAAAAAAGUGAAUAGAUGUGUUUUUUGAUAAGCUCCUUUAAAAUGUGAUAGUUUUCUUUCAAAGUGCAUUCAGUCUAUCUAUUUAAACAAAAUAAUAAUGAUAACGAAUCAAUGUUUUUUUGAUUUGAAUCAUAUUUGAAGUUCAGGCAAGGAAAGCAAACAAACCGCAGAAGUUAAAGAAACUGAACCUUUACACACUCUGGUGCGUGAUGCAGCUGCAGUAAAGUGAUGUGCAAAAUGAAGAUAUCAGCAUGGAUCUUUUAAUAUUUAUUUUAAC